rnacentral:ncRNA from 1 species
GCGUCUUGUCGAAAGAUAAGAUGGAAAAGUGGGUGAAUUCAGGGAAACCCAAUAAUAUUUUGGGCAAUCCUGAGCCAAGCCUAUCAACGCAAUUUUUAUUGAUAGGAAGGUGCAGAGACUAAUCCAAUAAGGAUAUAGGCCCUUCUUUUAAAGGAAGAGCCUAAGCGCCCACCACCUAAAGCCUAUAUGCUAUGGUGAUGAGAUAGUCCAAGCCUCAAGGUAACUUG